AUCGGAAUUUAAAAAGCUAACGUUUCUGACAAAAUUUUAGAAUCAAUGAAGUGAACCCAGUAAAACAGUAAAAGGCUAAAUGUCGCUCAGUAGGUGUGCAGAAGACAGCUUAUACACACACUCGUGGCAUACACUCAGUAGGUGUGCAGAAGACAGCUUAUACACACACUCAUGGCAUACGCUCAGUUGGUGUGCAGAAGACAGCUAAUACACACACUCGUGGCAUACACUCAGUAAGUGUGCAGAAGA